rnacentral:rRNA from 1 species
CGGGGUGCAGCAGGCGCGAAAACUUUACAAUGCUGGAAACAGCGAUAAGGGGACCUCGAGUGCCAGGUUACAAAUCUGGCUGUCGUGAUGCCUAAAAAGCAUUGCAUAGCAAGGGCCGGGCAAGACCGGUGCCAGCCGCCGCGGUAACACCGGCGGCUCGAGUGGUAACCGUUAUUAUUGGGUCUAAAGGGUCUGUAGCCGGCCGGAUAAGUCUCUUGGGAAAUCCAGCAGCUCAACUGUUGGGCUUUCAGGAGAUACUGUCUGGCUCGAGGCCGGGAGAGGUGAGAGGUACUUCAGGGGUAGGGGUGAAAUCUUGUAAUCCUUGAAGGACCACCAGUGGCGAAGGCGUCUCACCAGAACGGACCUGACGGCAAGGGACGAAAGCUAGGGGCACGAACCGGAUUAGAUACCCGGGUAGUCCUAGCCGUAAACGAUACUCGCUAGGUGUCGGCCACGGUGCGACCGUUGUCGGUGCCGUAGGGAAGCCGUGAAGCGAGCCACCUGGGAAGUACGGCCGCAAGGCUGAAACUUAAAGGAAUUGGCGGGGGAGCACAAGGGCGAUUCGCG